AUGCAAAAAUAUUUCAAGAGUAUGGUUGAUCAUUACACUUCUGGUAAGUCAUUGGCUGCAUUUUUUGCUGUCAGCUUGACAUCUAAAAUUGAAGCUAUCAUGACCAAAGUUAUGUGUUGUGGUACACAUGAAAGAAGUGAAGAGUGUUACAUGGCAACAAAAUUGUUUAGUAAAGCUAAAAAUUGUGUCUCAUUCUAUACUGUGAAGACAAAGGAUGGGCGUUUCGUGUGGCCAACUGUCAAGGAUGCUUCGCAAAGUACCCAAUAG
rnacentral:rRNA from 1 species